UCUAUACAUCGCAGCAACGUAUUAACUAUGUAUGGUAGAUGUAUUACAAGUUCCUCAGGUGUUCGCGGGUCAUUUGGAAGCAUCGUUUAUUGAGCGUCUAAACGUCUUUACUGUACACUCACUGUUGAUGUGAUGGACAGUGAAUCUGAAUUCUGCCCAGCAACAUAUUCGCGCCACAGUCGAUAAAGGAAGGAAAAAAAGUUGCCAGUCUAGAAGGGUUAGGAUGGAGACUGCUUCGUUGCUGCUGUCAAACACCAUGUGGAAGAUCAGAAAACGUGGGCAGGAGUUGGGAGAGAAGGCAAUGCAAAGAUAAAGGACAUCAUACCACAAUAAUAGUUGUGUGUGUGUAUAAGCCUGAUCAACAAGUGAAAAGAGUCAGAUAAGAGGAAAGAGUUUGACGACCACUGCUGAAUUGGCCUGCUCAGAGGAAGAGGCACUAAUGAUUCCAGAAAACAGGAAGCCAAAAAGAAGCCCUACACAGACUUUGAAAUGGGUACGUAAUAAACUAUUAUUAAAUCAUAUCCAUCUAUCAACAGUAAAUAUUUUAACCCUUUGGAAGUUGUACUUAGGUUACAUUUUGUAUUCAAAUGUAACCCUAACAUGCAGUGAAGGAGAGAUACCAUACAUCCUUCCUGCUGCUGUCAGACUUUAUAAUCAACACUGCUCCAAG